rnacentral:rRNA from 1 species
GACGAACGCUGGCGGCGUGCUUAACACAUGCAAGUCGAACGGAAAGGCCCUGCUUUUGUGGGGUGCUCGAGUGGCGAACGGGUGAGUAACACGUGAGUAACCUGCCCUUGACUUUGGGAUAACUUCAGGAAACUGGGGCUAAUACCGGAUAGGAGCUCCUGCUGCAUGGUGGGGGUUGGAAAGUUUCGGCGGUUGGGGAUGGACUCGCGGCUUAUCAGCUUGUUGGUGGGGUAGUGGCUUACCAAGGCUUUGACGGGUAGCCGGCCUGAGAGGGUGACCGGCCACAUUGGUACUGAGAUACGGCCCAGACUCCUACGGGAGGCAGAAGGGGGGAAUAUUGCACAAUGGGCGGAAGCCUGAUGCAGCAACGCCGCGUGCGGGAUGACGGCCUUCGGGUUGUAAACCGCUUUCGCCUGUGACGAAGCGUGAGUGACGGUAAUGGGUAAAGAAGCACCGGCUAACUACGUG